AAGAAUUAAAUGGAUGAAAUAUGAAGUUUUAUUAAAAGAAAAAGGGGUGAAAAGAACAAAGUUUUGUCCAUCUUUGUUCAUCAUAGCUGAAAAUUAGAGAAGAGAAAGGAGAGGAGAAAGCUCUUGAGUAUUCGGUCAUUAGGAGGAGAAAAAUUGAAGGCAGUUCGUGUGUGUGGAUCUCAAAUCAAGAUAUCGUCGCAAAUGUGAAAUCCCCAACCAUAGUGGGCUUGGAGCUGUCCACCCAUUCUGAAAGUUUGAUUUUCUUCUGGUGAACUGGACAUCCUUUUAAUUAUGUUUGAGGUUUUGGGCUUUGUAAUAAGGCCGCUUAUUUAUUUUUGAUGGUUUUUUUAUAUGUUUUAUUAAGAUAGGUAAUAUUUAUUUUAACUGUUGAAAUUGGAUAGCUUUAGGGCGCGUUUUCAAAAACAACAGUUGAUUUCAAAAUAACACGACAACAAGCAAAGCUUCCGCAAUGAAAGUAUUUUCCAAAAUUAAUCACUUUUCCUAAAAAUGACUUAAUCAAAUCGGUUUCCUAGAAAUAUCCAUGACGUUAAGGUGUGGCAAUGGCAGUAUGCAUGUCUAGGAUUGGAUCCGAAGGGAGCUUGGUACUUAAGCAGUCCGAUGGACUCACCACCUCUUUUCCAGUUUCCUACCUGGUGCACAGCUUCCUUUCACUUUAACCCUUAAUGAAUUAAUCUUUUGAACAUCAAGUACGAUUUUCUGGACUUAGAAUGGAAAUUUUUUUUACGUUUUGAUGUGGCAUGCCGGAUCCGGCCAUAACUUCUGGGCCGGGUUUGGGGUGCUACAAGCUGUCCCAAAGCUCACAUCACCAUGUUCUGCAGACGAAUGGCAGGUUAUGUCAAUAAUGACCAAUUAUUGAUUCACUGUUUCCAAGAAAGUUUGGUUGGGGCAGCAUCUAAAUGGUACAACCAAUUGAGCGGUACCCAGAUCAAUACAUAGAAAGAUCUAGCACAAGCUUUCAUGAAACAGUAUAGUCAUGUGACGGAUCUGACUCCUGAUAGGAUCACUUUACAGAGCAUGAAAAAGAAACCGAAUGAGAGUUUCAGGCAGUACGCCCAAAGAUGGAGAGAGAUAGCAACACAAGUCCAACCGUCUCUCUUGGAAAAGGAGACCUCAAUACUUUUCAUCUAUACCCUGAAAGCCCCGUUCAUUGAUUAUAUGUUGGGAAGCACUGCUCUGAGUUUUUCAGAUAUAAUAAUGCCUGGUGAGAUGAUUGAAAAUACGGUAAGAAGUUGGAGGAUACAUGUGGCAGAAAGCAUUAAAACUCAGAUAAAUAAAGAGAAUGAAGUGAAUAUCAUGAGCAUGCCAUCCAAAUUGGUCAACAUAGACCAGUCAAGGGCUGUAAUCACUAGUUAUCAAGGCUCUUCAAGGUAGGAAUUCAACUUGAGGCCAAAGUUUACGCCUAUCCCGAUGUCAUAUAAGGAAUUGUAUCAGAAUCAUAUCGGGGAAUCUGAAUGAUAUAUCCGAAGAGGGAGCUGAGGAAUAAAAGUCUCCAAACUUUUGCAUACUUGGGAGUGUUUUGAACAAUGGGACUAUGGAAGAGAUCCCCUCAUUUUUAGAGCUAAUCUGAAGUAAUAUUCAAAACACACUUGUUAUUUUAAGCCUAGAAGCAACAAGAAUCUUUUGUGAAAUAGGCUCAUGUUCAAACAA